rnacentral:lncRNA from 1 species
ACACACUCCAGACGGUAGAUGGCAGUGACAAAGCCCUUUGUUUUACAGAACUAAAUCCUACUUCAAAGGAAAGGGGAAGCCCGCGUGCACGACAAAACAACUACCGAGGGAGAACGGAGUUGACAGCUGGUUAAUAUUUAGUGGUGUCGACUGGUGGUGAGACUGGAGGAACCUUUGUGAACCAGUCAUCUCAUCGUCCUCAGCCUAGAGCGAUGCCACUUUGUAGAAUGAGACCCUUCUCCUGACACAGGGAGGGUAGUCCUCCCCCAACCUUAGCAACCCGGACUCCCUACCUACCUACCUACCUACCUACCACUGCCUACCC